rnacentral:rRNA from 1 species
GACGAACGCUGGCGGCGCGCCUAACACAUGCAAGUCGAACGAGCGAGAGAGAGCUUGCUUUCUCGAGCGAGUGGCGAACGGGUGAGUAACGCGUGAGGAACCUGCCUCAAAGAGGGGGACAACAGUUGGAAACGACUGCUAAUACCGCAUAAGCCCACAGCUCGGCAUCGAGCAGAGGGAAAAGGAGUGAUCCGCUUUGAGAUGGCCUCGCGUCCGAUUAGGUAGUUGGUGGGAUAAAAGCUUACCAAGCCGACGAUCUGUAGCUGGUCUGAGAGGACGACCAGCCACACUGGGACUGAGACACGGCCCAG